rnacentral:rRNA from 1 species
CGCUGGCGGCGUGCUUACACAUGCAAGUCGAACGGGAUCCAUCGGGCUUUGCUUGGUGGUGAGAGUGGCGAACGGGUGAGUAAUGCGUGACCGACCUGCCCCAUGCACCGGAAUAGCUCCUGGAAACGGGUGGUAAUGCCGGAUGCUCCAUCACACCGCAUGGUGUGUUGGGAAAGCCUUUGCGGCAUGGGAUGGGGUCGCGUCCUAUCAGCUUGAUGGCGGGGUAACGGCCCACCAUGGCUUCGACGGGUAGCCGGCCUGAGAGGGCGACCGGCCACAUUGGGACUGAGAUACGGCCCAGACUCCUACGGGAGGCAGCAGUGGGGAAUAUUGCACAAUGGGCGCAAGCCUGAUGCAGCGACGCCGCGUGAGGGAUGGAGGCCUUCGGGUUGUAAACCUCUUUUGUUAGGGAGCAAGGCAUUUUUUGUUGAGUGUACCUUUCGAAUAAGCACCGGCUAACUUCGUGCCAGCAGCCGCGG